rnacentral:rRNA from 1 species
AGUAAUGUCUGGGAAACUGCCUGAUGGAGGGGGAUAACUACUGGAAACGGUAGCUAAUACCGCAUAAUGUCGCAAGACCAAAGUGGGGGACCUUCGGGCCUCAUGCCAUCAGAUGUGCCCAGAUGGGAUUAGCUAGUAGGUGGGGUAACGGCUCACCUAGGCGACGAUCCCUAGCUGGUCUGAGAGGAUGACCAGCCACACUGGAACUGAGACACGGUCCAGACUCCUACGGGAGGCAGCAGUGGGGAAUAUUGCACAAUGGGCGCAAGCCUGAUGCAGCCAUGCCGCGUGUGUGAAGAAGGCCUUCGGGUUGUAAAGCACUUUCAGCGGGGAGGAAGGCGAUGAGGUUAAUAACCUUGUCGAUUGACGUUACCCGCAGAAGAAGCACCGGCUAACUCCGUGCCAGCAGCCGCGGUAAUACGGAGGGUGCAAGCGUUAAUCGGAAUUACUGGGCGUAAAGCGCACGCAGGCGGUCUGUCAAGUCGGAUGUGAAAUCCCCGGGCUCAACCUGGGAACUGCAUUCGAAACUGGCAGGCUAGAGUCUUGUAGAGGGGGGUAGAAUUCCAGGUGUAGCGGUGAAAUGCGUAGAGAUCUGGAGGAAUACCGGUGGCGAAGGCGGCCCCCUGGACAAAGACUGACGCUCAGGUGCG